GCAACUCAAAAUUGGAUGUAUCCCGUUAACAUUAUUGUCAAAGUUUAAAUACCUAUAUAUUCUCUAUGACUGCAAUAAAGGGACUUCCAGGAGAGAGUGAGUGAAAGUAAUGGUAUGGAGGUGUCACCUGGGGUCAGCCUACCCUCUGUGCAUGGCCAUUGGAGAUUGGGGCUUAACUCUUUAGGUUUCCUGGAGGCUCAGGAAUGGAAGGAUUCUGCCCUUCCAUGCUUUCCCACCAUGGUUUC
rnacentral:lncRNA from 1 species